rnacentral:rRNA from 1 species
UGCCAGCCGCCGCGGUAAUACGGAGGAGGCAAGCGUUGUUCGGAAUUACUGGGCUUAAAGCGUGUGUAGGCGGGAUAGAAGGUGCCUUGUGAAAGCCCUCGGCUCAACCGAGGAAUUGCAGGGCAAACCACUAUUCUUGAGGCCAGCAGGGGUACCUGGAACUUUGGGUGGAGCGGUGAAAUGCGUAGAUAUCCAAGGGAACGCCGGUGGCGAAAGCGGGGUACUGGGCUGGUUCUGACGCUGAGACACGAAAGCGUGGGGAGCAAACAGGAUUAGAUA